UACGAAGGGGGCUAGCGUUGCUCGGAAUCACUGGGCGUAAAGCGCACGUAGGCGGAUCUUUAAGUCAGGGGUGAAAUCCUGGAGCUCAACUCCAGAACUGCCUUUGAUACUGAGGAUCUCGAGUCCGGAAGAGGUGAGUGGAACUCCGAGUGUAGAGGUGAAAUUCGUAGAUAUUCGGAAGAACACCAGUGGCGAAGGCGGCUCACUGGUCCGGUACUGACGCUGGGGUGCGAAAGCGUGGGGAGCAAACAGG
rnacentral:rRNA from 1 species